CGGGACACGUGAAACCCUGUGGGAAGCAGGAGGGACCACCCUCCAAGGCUAAAUACUACCUAGUGACCGAUAGCGUAUAGUACCGUGAGGGAAAGGUGAAAAGAACCCCGGGAGGGGAGGGAAAUAGAACCUGAAACCCUGCACUUACAAGCUGUGGAAGCACAUUUCUUGUGUGACCGCGUACUUUUUGUAGAACGGGCCAACGAGUUACGUUAAG
rnacentral:rRNA from 1 species